rnacentral:rRNA from 1 species
AACGGAAAGGCCCUGCUUUUGUGGGGUGCUCGAGUGGCGAACGGGUGAGUAACACGUGAGUAACCUGCCCUUGACUUUGGGAUAACUUCAGGAAACUGGGGCUAAUACCGGAUAGGAGCUCCUGCUGCAUGGUGGGGGUUGGAAAGUUUCGGCGGUUGGGGAUGGACUCGCGGCUUAUCAGCUUGUUGGUGGGGUAGUGGCUUACCAAGGCUUUGACGGGUAGCCGGCCUGAGAGGGUGACCGGCCACAUUGGGACUGAGAUACGGCCCAGACUCCUACGGGAGGCAGCAGUGGGGAAUAUUGCACAAUGGGCGGAAGCCUGAUGCAGCAACGCCGCGUGCGGGAUGACGACCUUCGGGUUGUAAACCGCUUUCGCCUGUGACGAAGCGUGAGUGACGGUAAUGGGUAAAGAAGCACCGGCUAACUACGUGCCAGCAGCCGCGGUGAUACGUAGGGUGCGAGCGUUGUUCGGAUUUAUUGGGCGUAAAGGGCUCGUAGGUGGUUGAUCGCGUCGGAAGUGUAAUCUUGGGGCUUAACCCUGAGCGUGCUUUCGAUACGGGUUGACUCGAGGAAGGUAGGGGAGAAUGGAAUUCCUGGUGGAGCGGUGGAAUGCGCAGAUAUCAGGAGGAACACCAGUGGCGAAGGCGGUUCUCUGGGCCUUUCCCGACGCUGAGGAGCGAAAGCGUGGGGAGCGAACAGGCUUAGAUACCCUGGU